AACUAUACAGUCUAUUGCCU
rnacentral:miRNA from 1 species